UGGGGAAUAUUGGACAAUGGGGGGAACCCUGAUCCAGCCAUGCCGCGUGUGUGAAGAAGGCCUUAUGGUUGUAAAGCACUUUAAGCGAGGAGGAGGCUUACCUAGUUAAUACCUGGGAUAAGUGGACGUUACUCGCAGAAUAAGCACCGGCUAACUCUGUGCCAGCAGCCGCGGUAAUACAGAGGGUGCAAGCGUUAAUCGGAUUUACUGGGCGUAAAGCGCGCGUAGGCGGCCAAUUAAGUCAAAUGUGAAAUCCCCGAGCUUAACUUGGGAAUUGCAUUCGAUACUGGUUGGCUAGAGUGUGGGAGAGGAUGGUAGAAUUCCAGGUGUAGCGGUGAAAUGCGUAGAGAUCUGGAGGAAUACCGAUGGCGAAGGCAGCCAUCUGGCCUAACACUGACGCUGAGGUGCGAAAGCAUGGGGAGCAAACA
rnacentral:rRNA from 1 species